rnacentral:rRNA from 1 species
ACAUGAUACGAACUUUUGUGAAAGCAGAAGGUGCCGUUUGGAACGUAUACACAGUUGGUGCAUGGCUGUCGUCAGCUCGUGUCGUGAGAUGUUGGGUUAAGUCCCGCAACGAGCGCAACCCUUGUUUUUAGUUGCCUUUAUGGAACUCUAAAAAGACUGCCGGUUAUAAACCGGAGGAAGGCGGGGCGGACGUCAAGUCAGCAUGCCCCUUACACCCUGGGCUACACACGUGCUACAUUGGGCGAGACAAUGAGAUGCUAGUCUGCGAAGAUAAGCUAAUCUAUAAACUCGCUCUAAGUUCGGAUUGCAGGCUGCAACUCGCCUGCAUGAAGGUGGAAUCGCUAGUAAUCGCUGGUCAGCUAUACAGCGGUGAAUUCGUUCCCGGGCCUUGUACACACCGCCCGUCACACCAUGGAAGCUGGUUAUACCCGAAGUCGUUACUUUAACCUUUUUGGAUGAGGAUGCCUAAGGUAGAAUUGGUGACUGGGGUGAAGUCGUAACAAGGUAAC